AGGACGAACGCUGGCGGCGUGCUUAACACAUGCAAGUCGAACGGGGAUUAAGUUGGAAAGGCUUCGGCCCGGAAGACAUAAUUCGAGUGGCGGACGGGUGAGUAACGCGUGAGCAACCUGUCCCAGACAGGGGGAUAACACUUGGAAACAGGUGCUAAUACCGCAUAAGACCACGGGGUCACAUGGCCUUGGGGGUAAAAGGAGCAAUCCGGUUUGGGGUGGGCUCGCGUCCGAUUAGAUAGUUGGUGAGGUAACGGCCCACCAAGUCGACGAUCGGUAGCCGACCUGAGAGGGUGAUCGGCCACAUUGGAACUGAGAGACGGUCCAAACUCCUACGGGAGGCAGCAGUGGGGAAUAUUGGGCAAUGGGCGAAAGCCCUGACCCAGCAACGCCGCGUGAGUGAAGAAGGCCUUCGGGUUGUAAAGCUCUGUUAUAGGGGACGAAGGAAGUGACGGUACCCUAUAAGGAAGCCCCGGCUAACUACGUGCCAGCAGCUGC
rnacentral:rRNA from 1 species